rnacentral:rRNA from 1 species
GACGAACGCUGGCGGCGUGCUUAACACAUGCAAGUCGAACGGAAAGGCCCUGCUUUUGUGGGGUGCUCGAGUGGCGAACGGGUGAGUAACACGUGAGUAACCUGCCCUUGACUUUGGGAUAACUUCAGGAAACUGGGGCUAAUACCGGAUAGGAGCUCCUGCUGCAUUGUGGGUGUUGGAAAGUUUCGGCGGUUGGGGAUGGACUCGCGGCUUAUCAGCUUGUUGGUGGGGUAGUGGCUUACCAAGGCUUUGACGGAUAGCCGGCCUGAGAGGGUGACCGGCCACAUUGGGACUGAGAUACGGCCCAGACUCCUACGGGAGGCAGCAGUGGGGAAUAUUGCACAAUGGGCGGAAGCCUGAUGCAGCAACGCCGCGUGCGGGAUGACGGCCUUCGGGUUGUAAACCGCUUUCGCCUGUGACGAAGCGUGAGUGACGGUAAUGGGUAAAGAAGCACCGGCUAACUACGUG